AGUCAUGCUUUGCCGUGGACUGAGGACUGCUUUUACAGGAUGUUGACGAAAUGGUUUUAAACGACCCGUCUUGAAACACGGACCAAGGAGUCUAACAAAUAUGCGAGUAUUCGGGUGGCAAACCCCUAUGCGCAAUGAAAGUGAAAAUGGUGGGAUCUUCGGUGCACCAUCGACCGGUCUGGAUUUUUUUGAUAGAUCUGAGUAAUAGCAUAUAUGUUAGGACCCGAAAGAUGGUGAACUAUGCCUGAAUAGGGUGAAGCCAGAGGAAACUCUGGUGGAGGCUCGUAGCGAUUCUGACGUGCAAAUCGAUCGUCAAAUUUGGGUAUAGGGGCGAAAGACUAAUCGAACC
rnacentral:rRNA from 1 species